UACGAAGGGGGCUAGCGUUGUUCGGAAUCACUGGGCGUAAAGCGCACGUAGGCGGAUCUUUAAGUCAGGGGUGAAAUCCCGAGGCUCAACCUCGGAACUGCCUUUGGUACUGGGGAUCUCGAGUCCGGGAGAGGUGAGUGGAACUGCGAGUGUAGAGGUGAAAUUCGUAGAUAUUCGCAAGAACACCAGUGGCGAAGGCGGCUCACUGGCCCGGAACUGACGCUGAGGUGCGAAAGCGUGGGGAGCAAACAGG
rnacentral:rRNA from 1 species